rnacentral:rRNA from 1 species
GACGAACGCUGGCGGCGUGCCUAAUACAUGCAAGUAGAACGCACAGUUUAUACCGUAGCUUGCUACACCAUAAACUGUGAGUUGCGAACGGGUGAGUAACGCGUAGGUAACCUGCCUGGUAGCGGGGGAUAACUAUUGGAAACGAUAGCUAAUACCGCAUAAUAUUAAUUAUUGCAUGAUAAUUGAUUGAAAGAUGCAAUUGCAUCACUACCAGAUGGACCUGCGUUGUAUUAGCUAGUAGGUGAGGUAACGGCUCACCUAGGCGACGAUACAUAGCCGACCUGAGAGGGUGCUCGGCCACACUUGGACUGAGACACGGCCCAGACUCCUACGGGAGGCAGCAGUAGGGAAUCUUCGGCAAUGGACGAAAGUCUGACCGAGCAACGCCGCGUGAGUGAAGAAGGUUUUCGGAUCGUAAAGCUCUGUUGUAAGAGAAGAACGGGUGUGAGAGUGGAAAGUUCACACUGUGACGGUAUCUUACCAGAAAGGGACGGCUAACUACGUG